AUUGAACGCUGGCGGCAAGCCUAACACAUGCAAGUCGAACGAGUGGCGGACGGGUGAGUAAUGUCUGGGAAACUGCCUGAUGGAGGGGGAUCACUACUGGAAACGGUAGCUCAUACCGCAUACCAUCGGAUGUGCCCAGCUGGGAUUAGCUAGUAGGUGGGGUAAAGGCUCACCUAGGCGACGAUCCCUAGCUGGUCUGAGAGGAUGACCAGCCACACUGUGACGGAGACACGGUCCAGGCUCCUACGGGAGGCAGCAGUGGGGAAUAUUGCACAAUGGGCGCAAGCCUGAUGCAGCCAUGCCGGGUGUAUGAAGAAGGCCUUCGGGUUGUAAAGUACUUUCAGCGGGGAGGCGUUACCAGCAGAAGAAGCACCGGCUAACUCCGUGCCAGCAGCCGCGGUAAUUC
rnacentral:rRNA from 1 species